UCCCGCCUUCGCUUCACUUUCUCGCUUCCCCAUUGGUCGAUAAACCCGUCCUUCAACUGAACCCGGAAAAAUAAGAGUUUUAUAACAGUUUGGUUUCACGCAGCUUUGUUUUCCAGUGUAGCGUCGUGAAAAGAAGAAAAAUCAGCGUUACAACUAAAAAAAAAUGAACGAAACACGCGAGUGGACUUUAUUCGUUAUGUUACAACGAGCCGGGGAUUCGUCUUCGGAAGCCGUUUAGCUCAGCUGUUAGCCCGGUGACAGACUGGACCGGACCCCGUGUGGUUUGUUCCGUCAUGGCGUCGCUCCGCAGUCUGUCUCUGCUGGGCUUCAGGCAGCUAUCGGUCUACCUGGUGGACUGCAUGAAGACCCCCGCAGACCUGAGACCAGCUGUGAAGCAGGAAGCUGAAGAGUCGUCAGACAGCCUCUCACUUCCUGCUGUGAGCGAGCUCGCUGUCUGCGGGGUGGACUGUAUGGAAACUCCAGGGCCGAGCCGUCAGACCAUCGGUCAGGCGGCAGAGCAGAGUCACGCCGAGCAGCUGGACACAGGUGACUACUCUGAGGGUCCACAGCACAUCCACGUGAUUAAUCCAGAGCUGGACCGGCACCUGCAGUGUCCCCUCACUGACCUCGGAGCAGAGAUCAGUUCCUGUGAAGAAGAAGACGCGUUGAAGCGUGAAGCAUCAAGCAGCAGCAGCAGCAGCAGCAGCUCGGGCGCGGUGACCUGGCUCAUACAGGACCACAAACUCCCCGAGUCCCUCACAUCACCAGCAGGUGGUGAUUCACAGGUUCACGCAAACGUUCACAAGGAAAACGCUGAAAACCACGAGGGCAAAGUAACAUGUGAAGAGGCUCAAAGAGAAAGGUGUCACACCUGCACACGGUGCAACAAGAGCUUCUACAUGCUGCACACCCUCCGGCAGCACCUCCGCAUCCACACUGGGGAGAAAUCGUUCAGCUGCCCUGUGUGUGGAAAGCAGUUCGGGAGGGAAGGAACUCUGAAGGAGCACCAGCUGAUCCACACCCGACACAAGCCAUUCAAAUGUGAGCAAUGUGGCAAGACCUGCGCCCGAAGGGGCGACCUCAAAAUACACAUGCUCAGUCACUCUGAGGAGAGGCCGCACAGCUGCAGCUACUGCGCUAAAAGCUUCAAGCAGCUGGUCAAACUGAAGCAGCACCAACGCAUCCACACGGGGGAGAAACCGUACCAGUGCAAGCUGUGUUCGAAGCGGUUUCGAAUCCAGGUGUCGCUGGCGGCGCACCAGUACACCCACACCGGAGAGAAACCCUUCAAGUGCACCCAGUGCCUGAAGGCCUUCAGCGUCAGGAACAACCUGAAGAAGCACCAGAUGAUACACACUGGGGAGAAACCGUUCAGCUGCUCGUACUGUGGGAAGAGCUUCCGGCUCCUGCAGCAUCUCAUCGUUCACGAACGCCGCCAUACUGGGGAGAAACCGUACACGUGCGAUCAGUGCGGGAAGGGUUACUCCCACCAGUCGGCUCUGAAAACUCACCUGUCCAGGCACAAGGAGAAGCCGCCGCACUGCUCUUUGUGUGGGCAGGAAUUCACAGAGCGGGCAGAGCUGACCGGUCACGAGUGCACGGAGACAGCAGAGAGACCACAUCGCUGCUCCCAGUGCGGCAAGUGCUUCUCCCAGUCCGUGAACCUGAGGAAACACCAGCUGAUCCACUCCGGAGAGAAACCCUAUGACUGUAAAGACUGCGGGAAGCAGUUCAACCACAAGAGUAACCUCACUAAACACACACGCAUCCACACAGGUGAGAAGCCCUUUGAGUGUGAGCACUGUAAGAGGUGUUUCAGGCUCCUGCAGCACCUCACAAACCACCGACUGACCCACGACAGGAAGCACACUUUGGACCCGAGACUCUGACGCUGCAGCUGAGGAGGCCGAGCAGGUCGGUGCUUCAGUGCCACUGUCACUGGGUUUAAGUGUAACUGACGAACAAAUGAAAUCAGUUCUCUGUCAAAAACAUGGGAAACUUUUCCUCUUCAAAAGUUCACAGAGACUCAGUCCUCUUUACCAGACCUGCUGUUUACCUGCUGUUUACCUGCUGUUUACCUGCUGUUUACCUGCUGUUUACCUGCUGUUUACCUGUGACUCACUGAAACUGGCUUCACUGUGAUAAACAGUACCGUCGGUGUCACUGUAAAGGUGUUUGGACAUUCUGACCUCCCUCUCCGUGUGUUUGCUGUCUGUAGCUGGCAGCUUUAAACAGUCUCACUGAAGAUGACUCAUACUGGAGCAGUAAUUUUACCACUAGGUGGCGCUGCUGCUGCAUCCUCUCUCCACCUGUCCCCAGCUCAUCACAUCUAAACUGUGGACACCCUUCAAUUCCUGACCGACAAUGUCCAAGGUCCAGACGUCCCCGCAGGGUCGGUGUGAUUACCUGGAACAUGUGACUCCUCUGCUCAGGUUUAUCGAACUGAACCAGGAGGCUUCAAAUGAUGG